rnacentral:rRNA from 1 species
CCGGCAAAGGAAGCACAAACACUUGUCUCUUAAAUCGGGACCUGAUGAAUGGCAUCACGAGGAAUUAACUGUCUCCCCUCACCAAUCAGUGAAACUAAUCUCCCUGUGAAAAAGCAGGGCUACCUAUACAAGACGAGAAGACCCUAUGGAGCUUUUAACUAAUAACAUUUGUACGACCUUCCCAUAACCCUCCAACAUUGUACUUACACGUUUUCGGUUGGGGYGACCCUGGAGAAAAACCUAACCUCCAUGCUGYUAAAUAUAAGAACCGCAAUUCUACAAUCAACAAUAUUGACACAAUUGACCCAAACAUUUUGAUCAAACGAACCAAGUUACCCCUAGGGAUAAACAGCGCCAUCCACCUUUUAAGAGCACAUAUC